CGCUUGUGGCUUCUUGAUGGGUCCCCUCCAAGACUUCUUUCGCCCAUUAUUUUAUAUAUAUUCUAAAACAAUUCUCCAUAACUUUUCAGGACUUUUGGAGGCGUGCAGAAUAGGUCUCUCAGAUUUUCUCCUUUUCUAGUCCAGAAUUCGAGUUGCCGGCAUUCCCCCUCUUGAUGUAAAUCUUGUAAAAUAAGAAAGAAAAGGCAUAAGUAUUGUGUUAUAAUGUGUAAUAACAGCCCAUAAUGCAAUAAGACUUGAUAUAAAAGCAUGAUGCAAAAUGGACGUAUCAACUCCCCCAAUCUUAGACCUCGCUUGUCCUCAAGUGAAAGCCGAGAUCAAUAAAUAUGCCCACAUGUUUAGAGAUAGAGGUGUCGAUAAAAUAAAAUACGGACAUGCAGGCAUCAUGAUUGUUUUUUAGAACAACAACAAAUAUUGACAUAGUAUAUCUUAUACUAGAGUAACAAUUAAUUCACAAGGCAAAAUAUGCAUCAAGAAAUCUAUUGAGAACUAACAAACUAUGAUUUCAGUCAUUGAGGCAAUUCCAAUUUAUCGCAACGUCGGAAAGAGUCAAUGUAAGCGCUUGUAAAGCAAAUUCACAUACUCAAUAAUGUUAUGGUCUUUCAUAAUUGCUAACACUCACGUGGUACCUAUGAGGUCAAAGCUUCAAUCGGACACAGAGAAAGAUAGGGGCUUAUAGUUUUGCCUCCCAACUAUUUACCUCAAGGGUAAUGUCGACAAUAAUAACUCAUGAUCACCCACAUCCGAGUGGAUAUAUUUGUCUAGAUCAUUCCCCAACACAUGACGCUUGCCAAAAGAUAAAGGCGAAAUAAAGGAAAUAG
rnacentral:lncRNA from 1 species